rnacentral:rRNA from 1 species
UUUCGCAAUGCCCGAAAGGGUGACGAUGCGACGCCGCGUGGAGGAUGAAGGCCUUCGGGUUGUAAACUCCUGUCAGGGCAAAAGAAGGGGAGGGGAGGAAACUCCCUGACCUUGACUCAGCCCAAAGGAAGUCCCGGCUAACUCCGUGCCAGCAGCAGCGGUAAGACGGAGAGGACGAGCGUUGUUCGGAAUCACUGGGCGUAAAGAGCGCGUAGGCGGGUCCGUAUGUCAGGGGUGAAAGCCUCCGGCCCAACCGGAGAACUGCCUCUGAAACUGCGGUCCUCGAGUGAAGCAGGGGGGAGUGGAACUCUCGGUGGAGCGGUGAAAUGCGUUGAUAUCGAGGGGAACGUCGGCGGCGAAGGCGACUCCCUAUGCUUCUACUGACGCUGAGGUGCGAAAGCCAGGGGAGCGAACGGGAUUAGAUACCCCGGUAGUCCUGGCCCUAAACGGUGGGCACUAAGUAGAGGGGUUUUAAUCUC